CAAUAUCUUGUGGUCGUCGGUUCCGGCGGCCCGCUCGCCUCCGGAUCAAAAGGGAAGCCGGUGACGCGCCUUGGCGCCAGUCCGGCACUGCCCCGCAGCGGUAAUUGGGAACGACCCCGCCAUAUGAGCACUGGGACCGCCGGUCCCGGGAAGCGGCGGGUAGGAGGAAGGCCAGGCCUUCCGCGCCCAUGAGUCCGAAGACCUGCCGACAGCCGCGCGCAGCA
rnacentral:ncRNA from 1 species